UACGUAGGUGGCGAGCGUUGUCCGGAAUUAUUGGGCGUAAAGCGCGCGUAGGCGGGUUAGCCAGUCUGUUGUAAAAGCGCGGGGCUCAACCCCGUAAGGUCAUUGGAAACUGCUAUUCUUGAGUGCAGGAGAGGAAAGUGGAAUUCCCAGUGUAGCGGUGAAAUGCGUAGAUAUUGGGAGGAACACCAGUGGCGAAGGCGACUUUCUGGACUGGGUCUGACGCUGAGGCGCGAAAGCCAGGGGAGCAAACGGG
rnacentral:rRNA from 1 species